rnacentral:rRNA from 1 species
UACGCAGGGCGCAAGCGUUAUCCGGAAUUAUUGGGCGUAAAGAGCUCGUAGGCGGUUUGUCGCGUCUGCCGUGAAAGUCCGGGGCUCAACUCCGGAUCUGCGGUGGGUACGGGCAGACUAGAGUGAUGUAGGGGAGACUGGAAUUCCUGGUGUAGCGGUGAAAUGCGCAGAUAUCAGGAGGAACACCGGUGGCGAAGGCGGGUCUCUGGGCAAUAACUGACGCUGAGGAGCGAAAGCGUGGGGAGCGAACAGG